rnacentral:rRNA from 1 species
AACGAACGCUGGCGGCAUGCCUAACACAUGCAAGUCGAACGAGACCUUCGGGUCUAGUGGCGCACGGGUGCGUAACGCGUGGGAACCUGCCCUUAGGUUCGGAAUAACUCCCCGAAAGGGGUGCUAAUACCGGAUAAUGUCUUCGGCCCAAAGAUUUAUCGCCUUUGGAUGGGCCCGCGUUGGAUUAGCUAGUUGGUAGGGUAAAAGCCUACCAAGGCGACGAUCCAUAGCUGGUCUGAGAGGAUGAUCAGCCACACUGGGACGGAGACACGGCCCAGACUCCUACGGGAGGCAGCAGUGGGGAAUAUUGGACAAUGGGCGAAAGCCUGAUCCAGCAAUGCCGCGUGAGUGAUGAAGGCCUUAGGGUUGUAAAGCUCUUUUACCCGGGAUGAUAAUGACAGUACCGGGAGAAUAAGCGCCGGCUAACUCCGUG